GACGAACGCUGGCGGCGUGCUUAACACAUGCAAGUCGAACGGAAAGGCCCUGCUUUUGUGGGGUGCUCGAGUGGCGAACGGGUGAGUAACACGUGAGUAACCUGCCCUUGACUUUGGGAUAACUUCAGGAAACUGGGGCUAAUACCGGAUAGGAGCUCCUGCUGCAUGGUGGGGGUUGGAAAGUUUCGGCGGUUGGGGAGGGCCCGGCGGCUUAUCAGGUUGUUGGUGGGGUAGUGGCUUACCAAGGCUUUGCGGGGUAGCCGGCUGGGGGGGGGUACCGGCCACAUUGGGACUGGGUUACGGCCCGGACUCCUACGGGAGGCAGCAGGGGGGAUUAUUGAACAAUGGGCGGAAGCCGGAUGCAGCAACGCCGCGUGCGGGAUGACGGCCUUCGGGUGGUAAACCGCUUUCGCCUGUGACGAAGCGUGAGUGACGGUAAUGGGUAAAGAAGCACCGGCUAACUACGUG
rnacentral:rRNA from 1 species